rnacentral:rRNA from 1 species
CACGUAGGGCGCGAGCGUUGUACGGAAUUAUUGGGCGUAAAGAGCUCGUAGGCGGCCUGUUGCGUCCGCUGUGAAAGCCCGGGGCUUAACCCCGGGUCGGCAGUGGAUACGGGCAGGCUAGAGGUAGGUAGGGGAGAAUGGAAUUCCCGGUGUAGCGGUGAAAUGCGCAGAUAUCGGGAGGAACACCGGUGGCGAAGGCGGUUCUCUGGGCCUUACCUGACGCUGAGGAGCGAAAGCGUGGGGAGCGAACAGG